GAUGAACGCUAGCUACAUGCUUAACACAUGCAAGUCGCGGGGCAGCAUGGGGGUUGCGUGCAAUCCCCGAUGGCGACCGACGCACGGGUGAGUAACGCGUAUCCAACCUGCCCUUCACCACGGACUAACCCAGCGAAAGUCUGACUACGACCGAAUGUUCUCCAUUGACGGCUUCCUAUUUGAACGUAGGUUUUGUCGCUGAAGUAUGUGGAUGCGUCCGAUUAUCUGGACGGCGGGGUGACGGCCCACCCUGGCGACGAGCGGUAGGGGCGCUGAGAGGGAGGUCCCCCAGACUGGAACUGAGACACGGACCAGACUCGUACGGGAGGCAGCAGUGAGGAAUAUUGGUCAAUGGGCGUAAGCCGGAACCAGCCAAGUAGCGUGCAGGAGGACGGCCCUAUGGGUUGUAAACUGCUAUUAUGCGGGGAUAAAGUGGGCCACGGGUGGGUUUUUGAAGGUACCGAAUGAAUAAGGACCGGCUAAUUCCGUG
rnacentral:rRNA from 1 species